CGACUGCGACCUAAUUUGUGAACGCAUCGUGAAUCAUUGCCAGUUCGCGUGUCCGGCUGUCCGCCAGUCGUUCGCGGCAUCCGUCGUCAGCUGGACGUUUAAAUAGCGCAGAUUAUAAUUAUUAUUUAUAUUAUAAUUAUAAUCUUAACUCUUCGGCUUUAAACAGUACGGUUUUGUGACAUUUUUUUUUCAGUUAUAAAAAAUAACAAGAUGGCUUCUACGGAGAUGCAAAAAAACGGAAAUGAACAAAGUCUUAUAUCAAAACUACCUUGGUAUGUUUCUUUAAUUCCUUUAAACAUCUUUUAUUUUAAAAUAAAGUUUUUGCAACAAUAUGUUCAACAUGCUUGCUUAAUUUUAUGAUAGUUA